rnacentral:rRNA from 1 species
UCCUACGGGAGGCAGCAGUGAGGAAUAUUGGUCAAUGGCUGAACCAGCCAAGUAGCGUGAAGGAUGACUGCCCUAUGGGAAUAAAGUGAGAAUAAGGAUCGGCUAACUCCGUGCCAGCAGCCGCGGUAAUACGGAGGAUCCGAGCGUUAUCCGGAUUUAUUGGGUUUAAAGGGAGCGUAGUAAGUCAGUUGUGAAAGUUUGCGGCUCAACCGUAAAAUUGCAGUUGAUACUAGGUAGGCGGAAUUCGUGGUGUAGCGGUGAAAUGCUUAGAUAUCACGAAGAACUCCAUUGCGAAGGCAGCUUACCGAAAGUGUGGGUAUCAAACAGGAUUAGAUACCCUGGUAGUCCACACAGUAAACGAUGAAUACUCGCUGUUUGCGAUAUACGCGGCCAAGCGAAAGCAUUAAGUAUUCCACCUGGGGAGUACGCCGGCAACGGUGAAACUCAAAGGAAUUGACGG